rnacentral:rRNA from 1 species
AUUGAACGCUGGCGGCAGGCCUAACACAUGCAAGUCGAACGAGUGGCGGACGGGUGGGUAAUGUCUGGGAAACUGCCUGAUGGAGGGGGCUAACUACUGGAAACGGUAGCUACUACCGCAUACCAUCGGAUGUGCCCAGUUGGGAUUAGCUAGUCGGUGGGGUAAAGGCUCACCUAGGCGACGAUCCCUAGCAGGUCUGAGAGGAUGACCAGCCACACUGGAACUGAGACACGGUCCAGACUCCUACGGGAGGCAGCAGUGGGGAAUAUUGGACAAUGGGCGAAAGCCUGAUGCAGCCAUGCCGCGUGUAUGAAGAAGGCCUUCGGGUUGUAAAGCACUUUCAGCGGGGAGGCGUUACCCGCAGAAGAAGCACCGGCUAACUCCGUGCCAGCAGCCGCGGUAAUAC